rnacentral:rRNA from 1 species
CUCAGACGAUGCGUCAUGCAUAUCAAUAAGCGGAGGAAAAGAAACUAACUAGGAUUCCCUCAGUAACGGCGAGUGAAGCGGGAAGAGCUCAAAUUUGAAAUCUUCAAGGUUCUACCUUGACGAAUUGUAGUUUAAAGAAGUGUUUUCUGUUGGAGUUUUGGUAAAAGUUCUUUGGAAUAGGACAUCAUAGAGGGUGAGAAUCCCGUAUUUGACCAUUAUUUCCAGCUUUGUGAUACACUUUCAAAGAGUCGGAUUGUUUGGGAAUGCAGUCCAAAAUGGGUGGUAAAUUUCAUCUAAAGCUAAAUAUUGGCGAGAGACCGAUAGCGAACAAGUACCGUGAGGGAAAGAUGAAAAGAACUUUGAAAAGAGAGUUAAACAGUACGUGAAAUUGUCAAAAGGGAAGCGUUUGACACCAGUGUUGUUUUCUCGAAAAUCAAUUAAAAAAGGCAGGAUUUUGUGUUGUAUUGACUUUAUCAGCUUUCUGCACUCUUUUCUUGUCUUUUUUUAAUGCACUUUUCGUUUAACAAGUCAACAUCAAUUUCUUUUGUUGUAAAAGGGUCAUUGGAAGGUGGCUUUCUUUUCGGAGAAAGUGUUUAUAGCCUUUGGCCUCUGCAAUCGGAGAGAUUGAGGUCUGCAGCGUAGAUCCUUCGGGGUUAGAUACAUUUGUGCUAAGUUAUAGCCUUUCAUAGACAACUUGUUGACUAUGAUCAGUCAUGUAGCUUACUCGCUUAUGCUAUUUUACCUACGCUUAGGAUGUUGAUCUACAGAGCGAGAGU